ncrna:Streptococcus mutans TCI-162 skipping-rope RNA
AACAUCUGAGGACAGGAAGGUUUCUGACGCACCCUAAGUUUGAGGUAACUGAGAUGACGUAGUUACUGACCGUCAAGAUGUU